rnacentral:rRNA from 1 species
UACGUAGGGGGCAAGCGUUAUCCGGAUUUACUGGGUGUAAAGGGAGCGUAGACGGCGCGGCAAGUCUGAAGUGAAAGGCAGGGGCUUAACCCCUGAACUGCUUUGGAAACUGCCAUGCUAGAGUGCUGGAGAGGUAAGUGGAAUUCCUAGUGUAGCGGUGAAAUGCGUAGAUAUUAGGAGGAACACCGGCGGCGAAGGCGGCCUGCUGGACCGCGACUGACGUUGAGGCUCGAAAGCGUGGGGAGCGAACAGG